rnacentral:rRNA from 1 species
AGCAUAUAAGUAAGUGGUGGAAAUUAAACCAAAUGGGAUAUCUUUAGUAAUUGNGAAUGAACAAGGAUAUGCUUANCUUGACAAAUGGAGCUAUUGGCUUUGAAUUGUAUUGUGGAAAUGUAUUACCAACAGAGGUGCAGGUGCCAGCCUAUUGAAAUAAAGCGUCAAUGAGGGUGAGAAUCCUGUUUGUCAUGUGCAGCCCUUUGUGCACGGUGUAUAUUUGCUGAGUCACACUCCUUGGCAUUGGAAUGCAAAGUGGGUGGUAAGUUUCAUGUAAAGGUAAACAUGCAAUUGAGACUGAUAGCACACAAGUACCAUGAGGGAAAUAUGAAAAGGACUUUGAAAAGAGAAUUAAAUGANUUUGUAUUUGCUGAACACAAAGUAAACAGACUUGAUUUGCUUGGUGGGAGUGUUGCACUUGCUUGACAAGAGCUUUGGGCUGUGGGUGUAAUGAUUCUUUCUUUGCAUGCCAGUUUCUAUUUGUACAUCUGAUUACCUUUGCACAUGAAUGAUAAGUCUCCUGUGGGGGGUGGAUUGCAUGUGCAUGUAAUGAUUUGUGUUUUGAUAAAUGUGUCUGGUGUAUGUGUGUGUUCCUGUGCUUGGGGAUGCUUCCUUCCUUGGACUUACAAGCCCUGACACACACAUGCUGGCAAAAUGCUUCUGCUUGACCCGUCUUGAAACAC